rnacentral:tRNA from 1 species
AGGAGAAUAGUUAAAUAUAACAUUUAAAUUGCAAUUAAAAGGUACAUAGUUGUUUCUCUUA